GGCAAACGGGUGAGUAAAAUAUUAGAACAUACCCAAAAGAUGGGGAUAAGAUAACGAAAGUUAUUGUAAACCGCAAUAAAACCCUACAAUAAAGCAGGGUGAAAAUCAUAAUGCUUUUGGAUUGGCUAAUAACAGAUUAGCUAGUUGGUGACGUAAAGGGUUAACAAGGCUAAGAUCUGUAGUUGUUCUGGAAGGAAGCACAACCACACUGGGACUGAGACAAGGCCCAGACUCCUACGGGAGGCAGCAGUGAGGAAUCUUGGACAAUGAGCGAAAGCUUGAUCCAGCAAUACCGCGUGUGCGAUGAAGGGAAACUGUAAAGCACUUUUUUAGGGGAAUAAAGCAGAUGAAUGUACCUUAAGAAAAAGUACCGGCUAAUUACGUGCCAGCAGCCGCGGUAAAACGUAAGGUGCAAGCGUUAAUCGGUUUUAUUGGGCGUAAAGCGUGUGUAGGCGGAAUAUUAUGAAGGGUGUAAAAGAAUAAAGCCUAACUUUAUAAAGCACCCUUUACUAAUAAUCUGGAGUGUAGAUAGAGGAAGCAGAAUUCUGUGUGUAGCGGUGAAAUGUGUAAAUAUACAGAGGAAUACCAAAAGCGAAGGCAGCCUCCUUAUCUAACACUGACGCUGAUACACUAAAGCGUGGGGAGCAAACAGGAUUAGAUACCCUGGUAGUCCACGCCCUAAACGAUGUCAACUAACUGUUGGAACCAGUGGUGUAGCUAACGCAUUAAGUUGACCGCCUGGGGACUACGACCGCAAGGUUAAAACUCAAAGGAAUUGACGGGGACCCGCACAAGCGGUGGAUGAUGUGGAUUAAUUCGAUGCAACACGAAGAACCUUACCUACCCUUGACAUGUAUAGAACCCUCUUGAAAAAGAGGGGUGCCUAUAACACAGGUGCUGCAUGGCUGUCGUCAGCUCGUGUCGUGAGAUGUUUGGUUAAGUCCUAUAACGAGCGAAACCCUUUUUUCAUGUUGCUAAAGCACUCUUGAAAAACUGCCAAUGAAAAGUUGGAGGAAGGAAAGGAUGACGUCAAGUCCUCAUGGCCCUUAUGGGUAGGGCUUCACACGUCAUACAAUGGUUAACACAAAGGAAAAUCCUAAAAUUAACCUUAGUUCGGAUUGUGCUCUGAAACUCGGGCACAUGAAGCAGGAAUCGCUAGUAAUCGCAGAUCAGAAUGCUGCGGUGAAUACGUUCUCGGGUCUUGUACACACCGCCCGU
rnacentral:rRNA from 1 species